GUGGGAUUCGUAAUAUCGCGCCCGGGUGAUAUUGGGGACAUGAACCGCGUUAACCAGUCCUGUUUAUCCAAGAUUAUUUUCACUGAACAUGGACCAAUGCCUCACACAAGAGCCACCUGGUUACUACUGCUGAGCUUUAAGAGGAACCUUAAUUGUAACAAAGGGCACUAAUGACUGAAAGGAUAUUAUCCUAAGAUGGUUCUGCACCGACCCUCCGACUUCUCCUAUUUUGAUGAACCAACGGAUCCUGCGAGCAGCAGGGGCCAAAAAACAAGAUGCAGCGUAAGGUGAGCUUUGUGUACAUCACCAAUGGCAGAGCAGCUAUCAUAUACACAUGGUCCCUUGGGGACAGACAAGUGUCAUAUAAACAUCAGACUGAAGGGAGAGAUAAACAUCUAUA